rnacentral:rRNA from 1 species
GGACGAACGCUGGCGGCGCGCCUAACACAUGCAAGUCGAACGAGCGAGAGAGAGCUUGCUUUCUCGAGCGAGUGGCGAACGGGUGAGUAACGCGUGAGGAACCUGCCUCAAAGAGGGGGACAACAGUUGGAAACGACUGCUAAUACCGCAUAAGCCCACGGUGCCGCAUGGCACAGAGGGAAAAGGAGCAAUCCGCUUUGAGAUGGCCUCGCGUCCGAUUAGCUAGUUGGUGAGGUAAUGGCCCACCAAGGCGACGAUCGGUAGCCGGACUGAGAGGUUGAACGGCCACAUUGGGACUGAGACACGGCCCAGACUCCUACGGGAGGCAGCAGUGGGGAAUAUUGCACAAUGGGGGAAACCCUGAUGCAGCGACGCCGCGUGGAGGAAGAAGGUCUUCGGAUUGUAAACUCCUGUUGUUGGGGAAGAUAAUGACGGUACCCAACAAGGAAGUGACGGCUAACUACGUG